rnacentral:rRNA from 1 species
CCUACGGGAGGCAGCAGUAAGGAAUAUUGCGCAAUGGGCGAAAGCCUGACGCAGUGACGCCGCGUGGGGGAUGAAGGUCUUCGGAUUGUAAACCCCUUUCGGGAGGGAAGAUGGGAUGGGGUAACCCAUUCGGACGGUACCUCCAGAAGCAGCCACGGCUAACUUCGUGCCAGCAGCCGCGGUAAU